rnacentral:lncRNA from 1 species
CUACCUGUGUCAGCUAGUUGAGUGCUGCUCAGAGGGUCCAUCAUGGUUCUUUAAGCAUAUGCAUGAAUGCAUUUUGAAAUUUGGACACCUCCACAAGCCCCAUGAAACUGACUGUGCAUGCCUGGUCUGGUGUCUUAAUGCAGAGGAGAAGGCGAUGGUUCCAUCCUUUACAUGAUGACUGUCCAAAAGUAACAAUACAUAUACACAUGUUAUACACGAAAAUGUACAUUAAAAAAAAAAGGAUACUUUUGAAGGAGAGCGGUCGAAGGCAAUGAGCCACGCACCCAUGUCCAGGUACUCCUAACCCAUACCUGCCAUCAGAAAA